UCAUCCAUAUCAGCAUCCUUACUUUGGCUACUACGGCCAUCCACCUCCAAUUACAGCUCCAUAUGUUCCGCCCCAGCUACCUGCUCCUCCCCAACCGCAUCAAUUAGUUGGAGAUACUUCAACCUCGACACCUGGCGGAGCUUAUAACAAACAAACAACCUCUCAAGGUCACCGUGAUGGGGCUUUAGGUGUGAGGAUUUCCGGUGCCGAUAUUAAUUCUUCCGUUGAACGCCGAGGCUAAGGCAAGUGCAUGACGAACCCCUGUUUCUAUAUGAUUGUCCAUUGUGUGUUUGUUCGAUUAUUUGUUCUCACUUAAUUUGAGAUUUACGUGUUCAAUUCGGUUCAAAUUGUUCGGUUUCCUUGAUUUGAUUCACCCUUUCGUAUUCAGUCUGCACUUCUUAUUUUCAUAGCUAACUUGGUGAGAAACUGUUCACAAGCGGCUAGUUCCGAAUUCAGUUCGGUGAGAACCGUUAGCUUGUGGGCUAGUCCGAGGGCUAAUUGUUUUCAUGUUAAUCCGGUGAGAGACUGUUCCGAGCGGCUAGUUCCGAAUUCAGUUCGGUGAGAACCGUUAGCUCGUGGGCUAGUCCGGCGAGUGUUUGGUUUCAGUCUUCAAGAUAAUAAAGAUGUUCCACUGUUCAUUAUUCAUGAUUGAUCUUAUGGCUUGAAGUGUACUUGCUGAGUAUUUCUGUACUCACUCUUGUGUUUCAUUUGGUUUUCAGGUGCCAAGUAAGGGACAUAUGCAUGGGAGACGGGUGUAGCACCACAUCACAUGAUCACAUAUCAUUAGAUGUUCUUAGUGAACAAUCAUACAACUAUCCUAGUUCCUGUAGCAUGUUAUUCACGUAUCUAUUUGUGUCUUUCGAAAGUACUUGGUGUGCCCCUUUAGUUGCUCGGAUGCUUUUCCCUAAAGCUACUAGAUGAAUUGUGAGCUAUAUCAAUUUUAUUGGUCA